UACAGAGGUCUCAAGCGUUGUUCGGAUUUAUUGGGCGUAAAGAGCGUGUAGGCGGUUCGGUAAGUCGGCUGUGAAAGUCCAGGGCUCAACCCUGGGAUGCCGGUCGAUACUGCCGGACUAGAGUUCGGAAGAGGCGAGUGGAAUUCCCGGUGUAGCGGUGAAAUGCGCAGAUAUCGGGAGGAACACCUAUGGCGAAGGCAGCUCGCUGGGACGUUACUGACGCUGAGACGCGAAAGCGUGGGGAGCAAACAGG
rnacentral:rRNA from 1 species